rnacentral:rRNA from 1 species
GGGCGCAAGCCUGAUGCAGCCAUGCCGCGUGUAUGAAGAAGGCCUUACGGGUUGUAAAGUACGUUUCUAGUCAGUGAGGAAGGUGGGUAUGUUAAUAGUCAUACUCAUUUGACGUUAGCUGCAGAAGAAGCACCGGCUAACUCCGUGCCAGCUAGCCGCGGUAAUACGGAGGGUGCGAGCGUUUAAUCGGAAUUACUGGGCGUAAAGCGCAUGCAGGUGGUUUGUUAAGUCAGAUGUGAAAGCCCGGGGCUCAACCUCGGAAUUGCAUUUGAAACUGGCAAACUAGAGUACUGUAGAGGGGGUAGAAUUUCAGGUGUAGCGGUGAAAUGCGUAGAGAUCUGAAGGAAUACCGGUGGCGAAGGCGGCCCCCUGGACAGAUACUGACACUCAGAUGCGAAAGCGUGGGGAGCAAACAGGAUUAGAUACCCUGGUAG